rnacentral:rRNA from 1 species
UGGGGAAUAUUGGACAAUGGGCGCAAGCCUGAUCCAGCCAUGCCGCGUGUGUGAAGAAGGCCUUUUGGUUGUAAAGCACUUUAAGCGAGGAGGAGGCUACUUGGAUUAAUACUCUAAGAUAGUGGACGUUACUCGCAGAAUAAGCACCGGCUAACUCUGUGCCAGCAGCCGCGGUAAUACAGAGGGUGCGAGCGUUAAUCGGAUUUACUGGGCGUAAAGCGUGCGUAGGCGGCUUCUUAAGUCGGAUGUGAAAUCCCUGAGCUUAACUUAGGAAUUGCAUUCGAUACUGGGAAGCUAGAGUAUGGGAGAGGAUGGUAGAAUUCCAGGUGUAACGGUGAAAUGCGUAGAGAUCUGGAGGAAUACCGAUGGCGAAGGCAGCCAUCUGGCCUAAUACUGACGCUGAGGUACGAAAGCAUGGGGAGCAAACAGG